CGCUCAGAAGCUAAUAGGUUUUAGCAUUAACCUUUUAAGUUAACCCUAGGUGAUUACCGCUCACCCUUAGCGA
ensembl:Mt_tRNA